UACAGAGGUCCCAAGCGUUGUUCGGAUUCAUUGGGCGUAAAGGGUGCGUAGGUGGCGUCGUAAGUCGGGUGUGAAAUCUUGGGGCUUAACUCCGAAACUGCAUUCGAUACUGCGGUGCUUGAGGACUGGAGAGGAGACUGGAAUUUACGGUGUAGCAGUGAAAUGCGUAGAGAUCGUAAGGAAGACCAGUGGCGAAGGCGGGUCUCUGGACAGUUCCUGACACUGAGGCACGAAGGCCAGGGGAGCAAACGGG
rnacentral:rRNA from 1 species